rnacentral:rRNA from 1 species
UGGGGAAUAUUGGACAAUGGGCGCAAGCCUGAUCCAGCAAUGCCGCGUGAGUGAUGAAGGCCUUAGGGUUGUAAAGCUCUUUCGCACGCGACGAUGAUGACGGUAGCGUGAGAAGAAGCCCCGGCUAACUUCGUGCCAGCAGCCGCGGUAAUACGAAGGAUCCGAGCGUUAUCCGGAUUUAUUGGGUUUAAAGGGUGCGAAGGUGGUUUGAUAAGUCAGCGGUGAAAGUUUGCAGCUUAACUGUAAAAAUGCCGAUGAAACUGUCGGACUUGAGUGUAAAUGAGGUAGGCGGAAUGCGUGGUGUAGCGGUGAAAUGCAUAGAUAUCACGCAGAACUCCGAUUGCGAAGGCAGCUUACUAAGCUACAACUGACACUGAAGCACGAAAGCGUGGGGAUCAAACA